GCAGGACCAAAUUGACCUGUUUCUAAUAUUUGGAAUGUUAUAAUCACCCGUCCCCCGCAAGUUACUUAUCUGUCUCCUUUCACCUCUCUCUCCUCUCCAUUCAUCCCUCUCCUCUCAACCCCUCUCCUCUCCUUUCAUCCCUCUCUCCUCUCCUCUCACCCCUCUCUCCUCUCCAUUCAUCCCUCUCCUCUCAACCCCACUCCUCUCCUUUCAUCCCUCUCUCCUCUCCUCUCACCCCCUCUCCUCUCCUUUCAUCGCUCUCUCCUCUCCUCUCACCCCUCUCUUCUCUCCUUUCAUCCCUCUCUCCUCUCCUCUCACCCCUCUCUCCUCUCCUUUCACCCCUCUCUCCUCUCCUUUCAUCCCUCUCUCCUCUCCUUUCAUCCCUCUCUCCUCCCCUUUCAUCCCUCGCUCCUGUCCUGUCACCCCUCUCUCCUCUCUCUCAUCCCUCUAUCCUCUCCUUCCAUCCCUCUCUCCUCUCCUUUCAUCCCUCUCUCCUCUCCUUUCAUCCCUCUCUCCUCUCCUUUCACCCCUCUCUCCUCUCUCUCAUCCCUCUCUCCUCUCCUUUCAUCCCUCUCUCUUCUCCUUUCAUCCCUCUCUCCUCCCUUUCAUCGCUCUCUCCUCUCCUCUCACCCCUCCCUCCUCUCCAUUCAUCCCUCUCUCCUCUCUCCAUCCCUCUCUCCUCUCCUUUCAUCCCUCUCUCUUCUCCUUUCAUCCCUCUCUCCUCACCUUUUACCCCUCUCCUCUCCUCUCACCCCUCUCUCCUCUCCUUUCAUCCCUCUCUCCUCUCCUUUCAACCCUCUCUCCUCUCUCUCAUCCCUCUCUCCUCUCCUUUCAUCCCUCUCUCUUCUCCUUUCAUCCCUCUCUCCUCACCUUUUACCCCUCUCCUCUCUCUCAUCUCUCUCUCCUCUCCUCUCCUCCCCUCGCUCUCUUUAUUAUUAUAAUUUAUUUUGUAUUUUACACUCUUUUUCUCCCCAAUUUUGAUCUUGUCUCAUCGCUGCAAAUCCCCAAUGGUCUAGGGAGGCCAAGGUCGAGCCAUGCGUCCCCUGAAACAUGGCCCGCCAAACUCCGCUUCUUAACACCCGCCAGCUUAAUCCGGAAGCCAGCCGCACCAAUGUGUCGGAGGAAACAC
rnacentral:lncRNA from 8 species